rnacentral:rRNA from 1 species
CCUGAUGCAGCAACGCCGCGUGAGCGAAGAAGGCCUUCGGGUCGUAAAGCUCUGUCCUAAGGGAAGAAGUAUGACGGUACCUUAGGAGGAAGCCCCGGCUAACUACGUGCCAGCAGCCGCGGUAAUACGUAGGGGGCGAGCGUUAUCCGGAAUCACUGGGCGUAAAGGGUGCGUAGGCGGCCGAGUAAGCCAGAGGUGAAAGGCUACGGCUUAACCGUAGUAAGCCUUUGGAACUACUUGGCUUGAGUGCAGGAGAGGAGAGUGGAAUUCCUAGUGUAGCGGUGAAAUGCGUAGAUAUUAGGAGGAACACCAGUGGCGAAGGCGACUCUCUGGACUGUAACUGACGCUGAGGCACGAAAGCGUGGGGAGCAAACAGGAUUAGAUACCCUGGUAGUCCACGCCGUAAACGAUGAGUGCUAGGUGUCGGGGGUUCACACCCUCGGUGCCGGAGUUAACGCAAUAAGCACUCCGCCUGGGGAGUACGGUCGCAAGACUGAAACUCAAAGGAAUUGACGG